GAAAUGUCUAUGCGAGUCUUGCUUCCACAGAAAGAACCCCAGCCCUGCUACUUUGAUAAACAACAACCCAAAAUAGCCAUAACUGACCAGCCGUUCCAGCGGCAUAGAACAAGUUCCAAACUGAGACGGUGCUGGGGGGCUGGAGGAGUGCUGGUGUCAUGGUGAACAAUGUUCCGGAAGGUCAAAAAGCAUCGCAGCAGCUCCCAAAGCAGUAAGAUCAGUACCAAGAGCAAGGAACAAGGCCAGGCCAUCUACAGGUGUUGUCCGCCUCGUCCAACUGUGUGCUGACAUCAGAGAAGUCCUGAAGAGCAGUUGCCCUCAGGGACGUGGUGGAGACGGGUAACACCAUGAACCAGUCGGGAGCCUGGAAACCAUAGUUUACAGCAGGAUCACAUCAGGGCCGUAGCACAGUCCGCAAGAUCCGAGCAAGGCUCCCGCCCAACCCCAGUCAUGGGGCAGAGAGAAAAAUGUGCAGUUGUAUAGCUGAUCUCAUGCCAUUUAACACAUUUUGCCAUGAGGCUGAGAAAAAAUGUUGCUGUUUUAGAGCUCAGGGAUUCUUGAAAGACGGGACAAUCUCAACUUUAUUAAAGAGCAUUUUAACAGCAAAAAAAACAGCAUUUUCAAUAUAUAUUUUAAUAGACCAAAGUAUCAGCUAUCACACCAUGUAAAGGAACAACCUAUUUUUAUUAUUAUUAUUAUUAUUUUUAAAUGACAUGUUUUCAUAAUGUCUACUCUGUCAGACACCAUACAUGGCAUUCCACUUACAAUUAUUAUCCAACAAGUGUUUAAAGGCCUUGGUUGUUUAAUUCUAACAUUUGAUUAUUCAAAUAUGUAAUACAAAUCUCCAAACUUAUUUUUGUUUUGUUUUAUAGCACUGUAUAAUGCUCCAGGUCUCAUUUAGUUAGCAUUUUGGCAUGUUUUUCUACAUUUAGGACAUUAUCAUUUAUGAGGCCAACAUUAUCCAUUAGGUCUAGCACAGCAAUUACUUCAAUUGUUUUUAAGCAUAUGGUGCAGAACAGUGAUUAAAAUAUUUGUGUCAGAAUAUUGACAACAAAAAAUGUAUAAUAAGGGCGUUAGCCAUCAGUGAUGGAGUUAACAAGCCACUGACAGACUUGACAACUGAUACUCAAAACAGACAUAUUUUUGCCUCUAAAAACAAAAGUUAAAUACAAAACAUUUUUAAAAUCUGGAAAAUUAUUUGAAAAUCCCCAAAAGAAACAACAUUCCUGUCAUAUCUUUCAGCACUCUGUUGACUUUAGACAAAAUUCAGAUCAAGUUGAUGGUUUACGGAGUUCACAAAAUGUUUAUUUUUGUACUUCAUUCAAGUAGUAUACACAGUAGCAAUUUAGUUUCUCCUAAGUUACUUUAUAACUCUAAAACCUAAUUAAAUGUGACAUUUGAACCAAAAUGAAUAUCCUAUCGUAAUCUAUCAGGCAUAUGGA